rnacentral:rRNA from 1 species
GAUGAACGCUGGCGGCGUGCCUAAUACAUGCAAGUCGAGCGAACAGAUGAGGAGCUUGCUCCUCUGACGUUAGCGGCGGACGGGUGAGUAACACGUGGAUAACCUACCUAUAAGACUGGGAUAACUUCGGGAAACCGGAGCUAAUACCGGAUAAUAUAUUGAACCGCGUGGUUCAAUAGUGAAAGACGGUUUUGCUGUCACUUAUAGAUGGAUCCGCGCCGCAUUAGCUAGUUGGUAAGGUAACGGCUUACCAAGGCAACGAUGCGUAGCCGACCUGAGAGGGUGAUCGGCCACACUGGAACUGAGACACGGUCCAGACUCCUACGGGAGGCAGCAAUAGGGAAUCUUCCGCAAUGGGCGCAAGCCCGACGGAGCAACGCCGCGUGAGUGAUGAAGGUCUUCGGAUCGUAAAACUCUGUUAUUAGGGAAGAACAAAUGUGUAAGUAACUAUGCACGUCUUGACGGUACCUAAUCAGAAAGCCACGGCUAACUACGUG